AUCUACGGCCAUACCACCCUGAACGCACCCGAUCUUGUCUGGUCUCGGAAGCUAAGCAGGGUCGGGCCUGGUCAGUACUUGGAUGGGAGAAAAUUCAAGCUUCAGUGGUAGACA
rnacentral:rRNA from 1 species